GUGCCAGCAGCCGCGGUAACACGUAGGAGCCAAGCGUUAUCCGAAUUCACUGGGCGUAAAGCGCGUGCAGGCGGCUCGGUAAGUUGGAUGUGAAAGCUCCUGGCUCAACUGGGAGAGGACGUUCAAUACUGUCGAGCUAGAGGGCGACAGAGGGAGGUGGAAUUCCCGGUGUAGUGGUGAAAUGCGUAGAUAUCGGGAGGAACACCAGUGGCGAAAGCGGCCUCCUGGGUCGCACCUGACGCUCAGACGCGAAAGCUAGGGGAGCGAAUGGGAUUAGAAACCCCUGUAGUCC
rnacentral:rRNA from 1 species